GGGAUGAAGCUGAAGGCACAUGCAGACGUUGGGAGGUGCCAUGUAACUACACCUCCCGGGUCUGGGAGUACUCCUCCAGCAUUCAGAACUCUGACAAUGACCUGCCCGUCGUCCAAGGCAGCUCCUCCUUCUCCCUGAAAGGCUAUCCCUCCCUCAUGCGGAGCCAAAGCCCCAAGGCCCAGCCCCAGACUUGGAAAUCUGGCAAGCAGACUAUGCUGUCUCACUACCGGCCAUUCUACGUCAACAAAGGCAACGGGAUUGGGUCCAACGAAGCCCCAUGAGCUC
rnacentral:lncRNA from 10 species